GAGGAUUUUUCUCAAUGGGGGCAACCCUGANGGAGCGACGCCGCGUGGAGGAUGAAGGGCUUCGGCUCGUAAACUCCUGUCACCGACGAACAAGGCAUUCGGAUUAAUAAAUCGGAUGCUUGAUGGUAGUCGGAGAGGAAGGGGCGGCUAACUCUGUGCCAGCAGCCGCGGUGAUACAGAGGCCCCAAGCGUUGUUCGGAUUUACUGGGCGUAAAGGGUGUGUAGGGGGUUGGGUAAGUUUGACGUGAAAUCCC
rnacentral:rRNA from 1 species